rnacentral:lncRNA from 1 species
GAAAACAGAAGCCAUCAUCUUCUUCCCAUUAAGAGGCGCAUCAGCUUAAGGGAAAAACCAGAAAUCCUCCUCCUUCUCCAACAAUAAAAAUACUAUUUUCUACCGUUAAAGGAGCCUUCUUCCCAACUGAAAACCAAUAGCUUUUCUCCAUGGAAACUGCCUCAAACUUCAGCUCCAAAACACCCCAAACCAACGUGAAGUAGCUUGAAACUCCAGCCAAACACCUAAACUCUAACGUCCAGCCACCCACAACAACCGAGCAUCACCCCCACGAUGGAGUCGAAUUGAGGCUUUUAAAAUUCGGGGUUCAAAGUUUGCCUUUUCGGCGAGUCUCGAAUUUCCGGCGAGGUCAAUCGAGUCUGCCGGAGCUUCGGUUAAGGUCUUGUCCAUGGUCUGUCGAGUGUUAAAAUCACUCCCUGCUUAACUAAGGUCCGUUUUUUAUGAACUCUUAGAUUUGGAUCUUCAUUUUUCUUCAUCUUGUACUAGCUCAUGUCAAGCUUGAAUAAAGCGUAGGCCAUAUUAAUAUGGUCUUGUAUGUUUUGAUUUACUCUCUGGUUUGAAAUGUUGCCAUCUUUUCAUUUUAUGUUUUGGAUACUCUCCAUAUUUGUUGGGAAAUGCUUUAAAUGUUCAUGAUUUGGUUUCUUCUUUUUAUUUGUUAAUUGAAAUGCAAAAACAAUUACAGAAGUUUAAAUAUAUAGUUUGUUAAUAUGAGAGAUAGAUUAAUUUGUUGAGAUUAUAUUGUGAUAUGAGGGAUUUAAACUCUCGUAUUUUCCUUGCUCUCGUCACUCUAACAGAAAUUAUACAUAUUCAUUCAAGAUUCUAUGAGUCAAGUCACUAACACACUAACUCUCCUAUUUUCUGGCCUUUUGUCUUUCUUUUAAUUUUCUUUUAAGGUGAAAUAAAUUAAUAGAAUAUUUACAUAAUAUUCACAGUAUAAUUUACGUUAUAUUAUUUUAUUCAAAUAUAUAUUGAUGGAAUCAGAAGAGUAAUAGGUGAAAUAUUUUGAUGAAUUACUUACAUUAUAUCCAUAAUAUAAUUUCAGUUAAUAAUGAUUUAUUUUAUUGAAGGAAUAUUAAAAUUAUAUAAAACUUUUACAAUAUAAUAUAUUAUAAAUAUAUUAAAUGUAUAUUUUGCUGAAAAAAUAAAACUGUCCACCACAAAAAUUAAAUAUAGGGAAAAACAAUACCAAAAAUUCCCUUCGUAUAAAUAUAUUUUAGAGGUAUAAUUUCAUUAUAAAACAUACUCAAUUGUAUGUAUUUAAAACAUCGUAUAAAUAUGGUAUGCUUUUAAUUUAGAUGUUGUUAUGUAAUAUUUGUGGUAUAUUAUAGGUAUAAAGUAUAUAUAACGUAUAUAUUUAAUAUGCCAUAUUUUAAAACAUACAUAUUGUAUCAAAUAUUUGGGAAAAUCUGCCAUAUCAGAAAGGAAUUUUAUACUUGAACACUUGAUUGUGUGGCAAGUGUUGAUACUCUGUAUAUUACACCAAAUUAUAUAUCAUUAAAGAAUAAAAAGCAUGAGGAGAAAGAAACAUUUGGUUUAACUCUUGCGUUGGUAAUUUGAUAGAAGAGUGAUUUGUCGAAGUUUGUGAGAAAGCAACAAUAGUAUUUGAGCAUCAUUUUCGAAAAAAUAAAAUAAAAUUGAUAAGUGAUGAGAAGAACUUCUACUGAAAUAAAGGAAGACAUGAAACUUCUCUCAAAGAGAGAAGAGAAAUCUUCUCAACGGUUAUUUAAUAUGAGAGAGAAAUAAGAUAUAAGAAUUUAAACAUAAUCCCUUGUUUUUAGGAAGAGUUAAAAAAUAAAUAUAUUAAAUACUAGUAUUUUAUUUAUAUAUGCUGCAUUUGUAAUAAAAUGUGCUAUUAUUGGAAUAAUCUAAAUAUGGUAACAUUAAUAUAAAUACUAUUUUAUAAGAGCCCUACAAUGUAAAAAUGUCUUCUAUAAUUGUUGUACACUUUCCACAAUAAAUUUCGCAACUUUGGACCUUCAUAUAACCUCAAAUUUUAGGAAAAUAAUUAAUACAUAAACAUUCGUAGUUUGCUUUAGGCACAGUCAAUAAAUCAUCGUGGCCAUGGGUACGGUUUUCGUGGCAUGGUCACGAUACGUAAACCCCAAUUCGAGUGCGCAUUUCACGUGACUCGACCAUAACUUUAAAUAAUAAUAAUAAUAAAAUAUGUUGUAAAUCGCGGGUGCGUUUCACGUGACACGAUUUGCAAUAUAUACAAAAACAACGAGUGCGCGACAUCGCGACUUGUUCAAAUAAAUUCCAUAAAUACUAAAAGAGGUUAAUUAUUUAAUUAAAGGCGGUAAAAGAUAAAAUGCACAAUAGGUUUUUUAAACAUGUAAUAAAUCAGAUAAUUAAGUCAAGUAUUAAUUGUUAAGCGACCGUGCUAAAACCACCGAACUCGGGAGUGCCUCACAUCUUCUCCCGCGUUAACAAAAUUCCUUACCCGGUCUUCUGUGUUCGCGGACUAUAAAUAAGAGUCAAUUUCCUCGAUUUGGGAUUUUAAGAUAAACCGGUAACUUGGGACACCAUAAUAAUUAUCCCAAGUGGCGACUCUGAUUAAAUAAAUAAUCUCAUUUCGAAUAAUGACACUUUAAUUGGAAAAACUCCUUAUCCCCUCGGGUAAAAGGAGGAUGUGACGACACCAUGUGGGUCCGCCCCUGAGUUCUAUCCAAAAAAAGGAAAAAGAAAAAACUAACCAGUCCAAACAUGCAAUAACACUAGCACUACCAGCUACUCUAUGUAGCAGCAUACGUCAAUAUGAUACUCCAAUAUAUCAUGUCAAAAGUCCUAAGUCAUCACUUUAAACACAUAAGGGUUCAAAAUGAACAACAGAAAAUACAUUCAUUACAUAAUUAUAUGAAUCUCAUGAACUUUAAAGACCUAAAUUCCUGAAUUUUAUAAAUACAUGAUUAUAUCUUCACUUUUAUUUUCUCCUCUAAUUCAUGUAGCUUCCAUAAGAUUAUAUUGCUACCAUGCUAUUCUUAAUCAAAAUUUCAUCCUUCGGUUUCAAUGCACAAAUUUCUCUAUCCAGGUUUGUGAUUAAUAUCUUCUAUCAAUCUCUUAUGAUUCGUACCAUUC